AUUGAACGCUGGCGGCAUGCUUUACACAUGCAAGUCGAACGGUAACAGGCCGCAAGGUGCUGACGAGUGGCGAACGGGUGAGUAAUGCAUCGGAACGUGCCCAGUCGUGGGGGAUAACUACUCGAAAGAGUAGCUAAUACCGCAUACGAUCUAUGGAUGAAAGCGGGGGACCGUAAGGCCUCGCGCGAUUGGAGCGGCCGAUGUCAGAUUAGGUAGUUGGUGGGGUAAAGGCUCACCAAGCCAACGAUCUGUAGCUGGUCUGAGAGGACAACCAGCCACACUGGGACUGAGACACGGCCCAGACCCCUACGGGAGGCAGCAGUGGGGAAUUUUGGACAAGGGGCGCAAGCCCGAACCAGCAAUGCCGCGUGCAGGAAGAAGGCCUUCGGGUUGUAAACUGCUUUUGUACGGACGAAACGGCUCUGGUUAAUACCCGGGGCUAAUGACGGUACCGUAAGAAUAAGCACCGGCUAACUACGUG
rnacentral:rRNA from 1 species